GACGAACGCUGGCGGCGUGCUUAACACAUGCAAGUCGAACGGAAAGGCCCUGCUUUUGUGGGGUGCUCGAGUGGCGAACGGGUGAGUAACACGUGAGUAACCUGCCCUUGACUUUGGGAUAACUUCAGGAAACUGGGGCUAAUACCGGAUAGGAGCUCCUGCUGCAUGGUGGGGGUUGGAAAGUUUCGGCGGUUGGGGAUGGACUCGCGGCUUAUCAGCUUGUUGGUGGGGUAGUGGCUUACCAAGGCUUUGACGGGUAGCCGGCCUGAGAGGGUGACCGGCCACAUUGGGACUGCGAUACGGCCCAGACUCCUACGGGAGGCAGCAGUGGGGAAUAUUGCACAAUGGGCGGAAGCCUGAUGAAGCAACGCCGCGUGCGGGAUGACGGCCUUCGGGUUGUAAACCGCUUUCGCCUGUGACGAAGCGUGAGUGACGGUAAUGGGUAAAGAAGCACCGGCUAACUACGUG
rnacentral:rRNA from 1 species